GGGAGGGUGGGGCAGGAAGGGAUAAAGAGGACCAUGGAGAGGGAAUGUGGGACCAGCCCCAAGGAACUUCAUGGAAGCUUCCAGGAGUCUGUACUCUCCACCUGCUGGGUGGGACAUGAUCUGACCCAGCCUCUCUCCAUCUCUCUUGAAGAACAUAUCAAAAAGAGCCCUGGGGAAGAUUUUGCUGAACGCCCUGGACCGGAAUUCCUCACAGGAGGGUACACGUGGCACCUUGGCCAUCCUGGACACCUUGCACCAAGCCUUGGUUGGCUGUGAGCUCCUGCAGAGAAACCCCUCAGCACCAGCAUCCACAGCUCCUACACACACAAACCCCUUCCUCAUCUCCUGCUGAGCUCACCGACCCAGUCAUGGGCCGCCAUGGUCUUUCUAACCAUCACCAGACCAGCCUUGAUCACAACCAGACUUGCCUCCUUGGUGAACCUGACGACCAUGGGACUCGCAUUGGCAGUCACUGGACCAACCUUCACAGCCGAACUGACUGCCGUCACAGUAGUCUUUUCGGUCAUCCUGAGCACCAUCAGCCCAGCCUCCCUGGUCAGCCGUCCUGGUCAGCCGUCCAUGGCUGGACUGUCUUCCACCGUCUGAACACCCUCCACAAAUGGUUGGACUGUUAUCACUUCCUCAGAACUCUGGCAGCCAAGGCUCCUUCCAAAACUGGGUGCGUCUGGCAGCUGCUCCUUCCUUGGGCUUCUCCCAUUCUCCCAGAACCCCCACGUUGGAUCCUUGCAGUUGCUAGAUCAGCCUGUACCUGAGGCUGUUGCCCUUAUGCUGAGCACAGUACACAGUACAUUCCAGAAUCUCUGCCCUGCUUGCUCCAGCUGACUGACCUGUGUUAUUUGGCCUGCUCAAGAAGGACCAGUUCUGCACCCUGAUCAGGCUAUAUGUGUGCUAGAACUUAGUGUGGACAAAUGUGCAAGGAAAACUCCAAGGGGACCAGGCAAAGAGGAACCCACACUUUGGCAAGUCUAACUUUGUGAGCUCUGCUAUGACCUCACAGGAAAGAUAGAAGAGAAUCAUGGAAUGCUUCUGGGAGGAAGAGGCAAUUGACCAGUGUGGAAUAUAACUAGUGCCUCCUGGGUUUUAUUUUGCUGUUUUUCUGGUGCCAGGGGUGUCCCAGCACUGCCAGAGCUCCCCGGCCAAGCACACCCUUCCCUCACUCUGUUCUUUUCAACAAGCUGCCUUUCCCCUGGAGCGUGACAGGCACAGGUUUCAUUAAAGCCUUGACUAACUGAGAGAAGGAACAUUCCUGCAGCCGGGUCCCCAGAGCUGGCCUGUCCCAGCCAAGUGAGAGGAAACCAAAGACAAGUUCAGGCCCACCGAAAGAGCCGUGAUCAUAGGUUCUAUAUUCAGUUCUGUUGUUUGACAUUCUUUGAGGACCAUCUCCCUGUGUUGCUUAGGCUGGUCUCAGACUCCUGGGUUCAAGCAAUCCUCCUGCCUCCCAGGUGUCUGGGACUAUAGGCUAUACACAGAACACCUAACCCCACCCUCCCCACACACACUUUUGAUUACCACAUCACUAAAGGCUCAGCUCCUGGAAUUCCUCACCCAACACACAGAGUCAGCCUUUAGCAGGAGACGAUCAAACCGAAGAGACAGUCGUCCAUGGUUGUAUCAGCAAGUCAGGAAGCAUCAGACUAGGAAUUUGAAACAACUGGUUACCCGGCAGCUCUAAUGGAGGAAGCCAGCAACAUGUAAGACCAGGUGAGUAACAUGAAGAGGAUGCAUGUUCCAUGGGAGAGUCAGGAAUUGCUAGGAAUCCUACCAACUGAGCAGAAUGAAGAGCACUCUGUAAACUCAGAGACAACUGCACAGGAUGAGGAAAGACUCCCAGUGCCUAAGGAUAUGUCCUACAAACUUCUAAAGAUGGACACCAGGGAUGAAAAGACUAGGAACAGG